rnacentral:rRNA from 1 species
AGCGAACGCUGGCGGCAGGCCUAACACAUGCAAGUCGAGGGGUAGAAGCUUUCGGGCUUUGAGACCGGCGCACGGGUGCGUAACGCGUAUGCAAUCUGCCUUGUACUGAGGGAUAGCCCAGAGAAAUUUGGAUUAACACCUCAUAGUAUUUUAGUGUGGCAUCACAUUAUUAUUAAAGGUUACGGUACAAGAUGAGCAUGCGUCCCAUUAGCUAGUUGGUAUGGUAACGGCAUACCAAGGCUACGAUGGGUAGGGGUCCUGAGAGGGAGAUCCCCCACACUGGUACUGAGACACGGACCAGACUCCUACGGGAGGCAGCAGUGAGGAAUAUUGGUCAAUGGUCGCAAGACUGAACCAGCCAUGCCGCGUGCAGGAUGAAGCAUCUAUGGUGUGUAAACUGCUUUUGUACGGGAAGAAACACCGCUACGUGUAGCGGCUUGACGGUACCGUAAGAAUAAGGAUCGGCUAACUCCGUGCCAGCCGCCGCAGUAACAC